UCCUACGGGGGGCAGCAGUAGGGAAUCUUCCGCAAUGGACGAAAGUCUGACGGAGCAACGCCGCGUGAGCGAUGAAGGCCUUCGGGUCGUAAAGCUCUGUUGUUAGGGAAGAACAAGUGCUAGUUAAAUAAGCUGGCACCUUGACGGUACCUAACCAGAAAGCCACGGCUAACUACGUGCCAGCAGCCGCGGUAAUACGUAGGUGGCAAGCGUUGUCCGGAAUUAUUGGGCGUAAAGCGCGCGCAGGCGGUUUCUUAAGUCUGAUGUGAAAGCCCCCGGCUCAACCGGGGAGGGUCAUUGGAAACUGGGAAACUUGAGUGCAGAAGAGGAAAGUGGAAUUCCAAGUGUAGCGGUGAAAUGCGUAGAGAUUUGGAGGAACACCAGUGGCGAAGGCGACUUUCUGGUCUGUAACUGACGCUGAGGCGCGAAAGCGUGGGGAGCAAACAGGAUUAGAUACCCUUGUAGUC
rnacentral:rRNA from 1 species